AACCCUUAUCCUUUGUUGCCAGCGGUCCGGCCGGGAACUCAAAGGAGACUGCCAGUGAUAAACUGGAGGAAGGUGGGGAUGACGUCAAGUCAUCAUGGCCCUUACGACCAGGGCUACACACGUGCUACAAUGGCAUAUACAAAGAGAAGCGACCUCGCGAGAGCAAGCGGACCUCAUAAAGUAUGUCGUAGUCCGGAUUGGAGUCUGCAACUCGACUCCAUGAAGUCGGAAUCGCUAGUAAUCGUAGAUCAGAAUGCUACGGUGAAUACGUUCCCGGGCCUUGUACACACCGCCCGUCACACCAUGGGAGUGGGUUGCAAAAGAAGUAGGUAGCUUAACCUUCGGGAGGGCGCUUACCACUUUGUGAUUCAUGACUGGGGUGAAGUCGUAACAAGGUAACCGUAGGGGAACCUGCGGUUGGAUCCCCUCCUUACCUUAAAGAA
rnacentral:rRNA from 1 species